rnacentral:misc_RNA from 1 species
AAGUCGUAACAAGGUUUCCGUAGGUGAACCUGCGGAAGGAUCAUCAUCGAUUUCAUAUCCCCCUCCUCAACCGGAGGGGGACCCAUGAUAAACCCUUCUGUGCACCGUAAACCGUUCACUUUGGCAGGCUUUGGUGGUGAGCGUGAGCUCGCCUCCAACCUCGCGUUCCCUCCCUAGGGGUGUUACGCGUGGCGGCCUGCCGGAGUCCCAUUAAAAAACUCGUUUUCGAACACGUCUGAAAAUUUCCUUUGAGAAAUCAAAGAACCGAAAACAACUUUCAACAACGGAUCUCUUGGCUCUC